rnacentral:rRNA from 1 species
UGCCAGCCGCCGCGGUAAGACGGAGGGAUCACGCGUUGCUCGGAAUGAUUGGGCGUAAAGGGUGCGUAGGCGGUUUUCUAAGUGAGGUGUUAAAGGUCCGGACUCAAUCUGGAACAUGCAUUUCAUACUGGAAAACUUGAGUGUGGGAGAGGAAACAGGAAUUCCUCAUGUAGAGGUGAAAUUCGUAGAUAUGAGGAGGAACACCAGAAGCGAAGGCGAGUUUCUGGAACACUACUGACGCUGAGGCACGAAAGCGUGGGGAGCACACAGGAUUAGAUA